rnacentral:rRNA from 1 species
UUAAACUAAAGAGUUUGAUCCUGGCUCAGAUUGAACGC